CGGGGCGUAGCGCAGCCCGGUUAGCGCGCCUGCCUUGGGCGCAGGAGGCCGUGGGUUCGAAUCCCGCCGCCCCGACCA
rnacentral:tRNA from 1 species